rnacentral:misc_RNA from 1 species
UGGAACCGGUCGAGAAGAAGGAUUCUUGGGACGUCAACAAAGCUGGAAUAACGUUGGUGUCAAACGUGUGCUUCCUUAUACUGUUUGUUCUAAAGAGAAAAGCUUUCGAUGUCGUUUGUGGGCCCAGAUCAGAGUCCAACUACACCUCAGGAACAUAUUGAUGGUGUGCCAGAUUUUGGAUGGCGUGUACCACUAGAUCGUCCAAAUCCAGCGAAAUGCAAUCCCUUCACGACUCCCCGACUGAAGCACAUUCCAAGUUUUGUGGGACUCAGUUUGAGAUACAUGACAUACUGGAUCAGCAAGAAGAGACAGGGACGUAAGAUCUUCAUUGAUCACCUCAACCCCAUCAGUCACAAGCCCAUUUACGGGUGCCCUAUCGGUGGGAUUGGAGGCGGUUCCAUUGGUCGGGGAUACAGAGGGGAGUUCUGUCGCUUCCACAUGGUUCCUGGUCUCUAUGACUACAAUGUAGUUGAUGCUGAUCAGUUCACUGUGUGCAUCCGCAAGAAUGGCGUGACAGUGCUGCAGCAGGUGCUCGCGUCCUACAAGAAGACGGGGAAACAUCUCAAGUCCUGGGACUGGAACUUCCCGGGUGCUAACGCCACCUAUCACGCCCUCUACCCCCGAGCAUGGACAGUGUACAGCAUCCCUGAGUUCAAUGUCAAGUUGGUGUGUCGACAGGUCUCGCCCGUCUACCCACAUGAGUAUAAGGAGAGUUCACUACCAGCAGCAGUGUUUGUGUGGACCAUCGAGAACAACAGCACCGAUGACCUUGACAUCAGCAUCAUGUUCUCAUUUAAAAAUGGCCGUGGUGUGAAGGAGGAUAAGGAAGGAGGCUGCUGGAACGAGCCCUUUAAGUGUGACAGCGAGGGGGGCGACGUCAGCGGAGUCCUCAUCCACCAGACCUUCAGGGAUAUGGACUGUACAUACGCACUCUCGGCAGCACAAAGGGAGGGGGUGUCUGUGAGUCAUCUGGUGAACUUUGACCCUCAAGGGACAGGAAGCGAGGUUUGGUUAGACCUCAAAGAAGAUGGACAACUGACAUCUUCAACAGAAAGCAGUGAAAAGACAUUGAAGGGAAAGGAGAUCGCGGCUGCUGUGUGUGUGCAGUGUCAUGUGGCAGCCGGCAAGUCGGCCACGGCGGAGUUCAGUCUGGUCUGGGAUAUGCCAGUCAUACACUUUAGCUCUAGGGGACAGAAAUACCAUAGACGUUAUGCCCGCUGGUUCGGGACUGAUGGCACCGGAGCCCAGCGGAUCAGCAGUCAUGCAAUAGGCCAGUACCAGGCCUGGGAGAGCAAGAUUGAAGAGUGGCAAAACCCAAUACUCUCCAACAGAAACCUUCCAGCCUGGUACAAGUCGGCAUUGUUUAAUGAGCUGUACUUUGUGAGUGAUGGUGGCACGAUAUGGGUGGAUCCAGUUGAUGGAGACAGCAGCACAUCCUUCUUCAAGAACGACCACGCCCUGGUGAAGGAGUACAGCAAGUUCCUGUACCUGGAAGGUCAUGAAUACCGGAUGUUCAACACAUACGACGUGCAUCACUACGCCUCCUUCGCCUUCAUCCAGCUGUGGCCCAAGAUACAGCUGUCUCUACAGUAUGACAUAGCUCACUCUGUGAUGAGCGAGGACAGUACGCGUGUGAAGUACUACACGUCCGGUCACAAGGGGCUGCUCAAGACGCUUCACACAGUUCCUCAUGACGUCGGGGACCCAGAGGACGAGCCAUGGAAGCGCGUCAAUGCCUACAGGAUUCAUGAGACGGCCAACUGGAAGGACCUCAAUCUGAAGUUUGUCCUGCAGGUGUACAGAGACUACCACGCCACACAGGACAAGGAGUUCAUGGAGAAUAUGUACCCCAAGGUCAAGGGUGUGAUCGAGACUGCACUGAAGUGGGACAUCGAUGACGACGGUAUCAUUGACAACAGUGGCUUUGCCGACCAGACUUUCGACGCAUGGACUAUGAGUGGAGCAAGCGCCUACUGUGGUGGGAUGUGGCUGGCCUCGCUGCGGAUGACGAUUGAGAUGGCCAGCAAGUUGGGGUUCAAGGAAGACAUGGACAAGUACCAGGUGGUGCUGGACAAGGGACGUCAGUCAUACGAAACCAAACUUUGGAACGGCCGGUACUACGACUACGACAGCAGCACCAGUGGGCAUCAUGACAGUCUGAUGGCCGACCAGCUUGCAGGCCAGUGGUUCCUGCGGGCAUCGGGGCUGCAGGAUGACAAGGUGUUUCCCCCAGAUCAUGUACAGAGUGUCCUGAAGACUAUCUACGAGAACAAUGUCAUGAAGUAUGGUAAUGGUAACAUGGGUGCAAUCAAUGGGACCCGACCAGAUGGCAGUCGAGACACCAGUAGCUGCCAGGCAGAGGAAUUCUGGGUAGGAGUGAUAUACGGUCUGGCUGCCAGCAUGAUCCAGGAGGGUUUGAUAUCAGAGGGCUUUCAAACAGCGUGGGGAGCCUACCAUGUAUGCUGGGAGCAAUACGGCCUGCAGUUCCAAACACCUGAAGCCUACAUGACGUCCAAACACUACCGUUCUCUUGGAUACAUGCGGCCAUUAUGCAUCUGGUCCAUGCAGUGGGCCCUAGAACGCUUCCAGCCACAGUUACUUCAGCAGAAAGAGGGCGCUACAGUCUCACAGACGAGAAGUGUCCUCGUACAGGAAGUUAACCCAGAAGUCCCUGGCACCGCAGAGUCCGGGGUCACAAGAAGCGAGAUCCAGCUGGAGGUCACCGAGCAAUAAAUUAAAUUAUUGACCAACCUGAAAUCUGAUACCUCACUUGACAUUUUAUCAGAACUUGUGUGUAGAAGAUUUGAGGGGUUCUAUUUAUCAGAUGAUUACAUUUUAAAUCCUACAUCAUGUCUGUAAGUCUUAAGUAUGACUGUCCAUCUCAUUAAGUCACCCUGUUUGCCUUUGUAGUUCAUCAAUUUAACACGUUUUCUUAGGCCUAAUGUUUUCUUGAAUGUGAAUAAGAAAAACUUCAUAUUGACUCCAUCCGCAAAAUCAUAUAGAUACAUAAAACAACGAGAACAAAAGUUAGAUCUCUUCUUUGAAGCAGAAAGAUCAGGUCUGGAUUGUUCUGUGUACUAUUUUUCUAUUUAUUAUCAUUUCAAUAUUGAAAUAUUUCAUCUACAAUGGGCUUAAAAAAAUAAAGAUUUGGUUCUCAGGCAAUAUUUUUUGAAAAAUAGUGUGGGCAGGCGGUAUCUUUUUUCCUUUUUGUUUUGGUUUUCCAAACUAGAAUGUAAGGAUUUUUAAAAAAAUAAUUAAAAAUGGAAAUAAAAACAAAUCUUUAUGAUGAUGCCGGCGGUGCCUGAGAACCAAGACUAUUAUUUGUUUUAGCCAUAUCAUUUGGUUUUAGAUUUCUAGGCACCAAAAUAGGUUAUGUUAUACUAAACAUAAAAAACAUCAAAUCUUGCACCUUAAGUCUACUUAAUCAAUUUAUCCAAAUAGCAAAGUUAUAUGAAAACUUAACAGUUCUGUACUAAAGGUUACUGUGUAUAAAUAAGGUAUAACUGAGAAGAUCUGGGCCCACUUGCACAAAGCGAUCUUAGUGCUAAGACUAUCGUAAGCCUAUGUUAAAGUAUGGGAGUUAUGAUCAUCUUAACGCUAAGAUCACUUUGUUUAAGUGGGCCCUGGUUAUAUCUAUCCAAUUAGUUGAUACUAAGUACCAGAACAGCAGUAUAUAUGUGGCAUCGUUUCAGUUUGGUUAUUGUUGUUGUUGUUUGAGUGCCAAAGUUUUAUUCUAUGCAGUGCAAUAUUGUUAUCAAUAUUGUUUUGUUCUGUUUGGAUGAAUGACAUGUGGCCUUGGAUUAUACUUUAACUCAACUUGACCUGUAUGGGGGUGUGACUGCUGUCCUUGAGGCUACUUCCCCAAGUACAACUGUUAAUAUGAUUAUUCUUCUGGUACUACUGUCCAUACAACUCUGUUCCUGAAACAACUAACCAUAUACCUAAUCCUUCACACCACCGUCAAUAUGAUGGCUGUCCCUGAAAACAUCAUUUGAAGACUGCUUUGAAAAAGAGUCUAUAAAAUUGGAGUUGAAAUUUAUUUGAAAGCUAAUCAACAUUCUUCAAAUUUAUAUUAUGAAAAAGUGUACUGUGCCCGAAGGGUACUUUUAGUAUCAUCACAACAUAUAUGAUAGUUUAUAGCCUAUUUUUGCUCAAGAGACAAAGUUAUGUAAUAGAUUUAGAGAUCUUGUGCCUGUACUUUAUCGAGAUGUAAAUGCACUGUCGCGAGAACAAAGGUUGAGGCCUUUCCUUGCAGUAUGUUCUUACUACAGUACAUGUAUAUCCCGAUAAACUAUUGCCUAAGUUCUCCAUAUAUCUUUGAGCACUGGCCCAUACUAUACACUGCAGAUCGCACAAGCUGCUCCAUUCACAUUCAAAUGAGAUUUCACAAUUCAUAUCCUGCAUCACUUCGGGCUUUCCUCCCACAUUAAGCUGACACGCCGUGAUAUAACUGGAUUAGUGUUAAAAGCAGCGUUAAACCCAACUCACUCACAAUUCAUAUAAACUGUACUAUUUGUUCAGUCAAGUGUUUGUUGUUUAACAAGAGUUUCAUGCAUCUGUACACUGUAUACUUUACGGUACUUUGUCAGUGUAUUUAUGUAUGUGCUCCGCCUGGCCUAGAUAGUAACCACCAAUUGGAUGAAAGUAUCUGCCUGUGCUCUGAUUGUAUAUAGACAUGUAACAUGUGGUUGUGUAUGCUGGUCAUACUAGAGGAGUCUUAACAUACUAAUGUUCUGUAGCAGAUACCAUAAUUUCUAAGGCAAGAAAAGAUCAAAGGCACCAACAGUACAUUAUCUUGAGAUAAAGUACACUUGUUGAGUCAUAAGGGGCUGAGUUCAUGAGGCUGUUCAAAUUACCACUCCUGUGGUCUAUUGUAUCCUGGGUAAUAUUGUUCUAUCAUUUUUAGCAAUCAAGAUGGUUCAUCUGCAUCGCUCAGUGAAACAGUUUCUUUAAAGUUGUCGAAUAAUUAAAUAUUAUUCCCUGUGAAGAAAUAUGGCAAUAUCAUGUCAACAAUUUCCCAUGCUAUGACUUUAUCCCAAAUAUAUACAAACCAAAGCAGCCAUAAAGUUGUCUGAAGUGGGCGUCGCUGCCCUGUGAAUUAUUUCACUGUCUUGCCACAUAUAUGAGCAAUCCUUGAAGUGUUUAAUGACCACAUUGCUCACCGAAGCGCGUUAGAAAAAUACUGCAUGUCUUCCCCCCACCCUGUUUGUCCUAUGGUGAUGCCAUUUCACGCCCCAACCCGCCAAUUCGCGUUACAGUAUCACCUAGUGCUACCCGCUGAGUAAGCGCUCCAUUUCAUGGCUUGCAGUUGCUACAUUAGUUGUGGAAACAUUAGGAUCAUCUUUUAUGACGGAAAACACCUCAACCCAUAAUAACUAGCAACGCAAACUUUAGCUGUAUGUACACCACUCUCUUUUGUCUGGCUUACUUAUUCUGAAAUCAGAGCAGACCGGCCUCAUAGAAGUCUCUCAGUGGGCAUCACAUGGUUUGUAUAUUUAUGGAGAUUUGCUACUACAGCUGCGACGUUGAGGACUAUAACAAUAUGUCUUUACCAAUCAAGUGAAGCGGUACUAGGCUGGCCGUAAGGAACAAGGGUAGAAGCAUGUGUUUAUACGUGGGUAAGCUUGCUCUCACAAUGCGCUAGUGGAAGGGUGAGUGUCAUGUGAUUAAACUGAACCAAAUCUGUACAAAAACAUGAAUACGAAUACUACUGUUUGCUGCAUGGGAUUUGGGAUAAUCACACACUGUACAGAUAAUAUAAUGUGACAUAUUUAACUCUAUAAACUACACACUUUUUUACGUUUUGCUUUUUUCGUCACUAGGGUGCAGGCAAUAUGUGAAACAGAUCUUCAUUUAGCCCUGCCCAAGGAGUUUCAGUAUAUGGCGCCAACUAUUUCAGAUUUGAUUUUGAACAUAUCUCCAUUAAAGCGCAAAUUUUGUCUCAAAUUUGGUGUCCCCCGCUGUGAUAUUGCUGGAAUAUUGCUAAAAGCGGCGUAAAACCAUACUCACUCACUCACUCAAAUUUGGCAUCUUAGAAAAGUAGUAAAGUUUCUUCUACCCCCGUGUGUAGUGUAACAAAGUAUUGUUUUUGCCCUGAACUAAAAUGUCAAAGCAUCCUCAUGCUUUAACUAUAAUAGUUCAAGGCAAACUUUAUUAUUUUUCUGAGAUGCCGAAUUAUAUGCAAACAUUGUGCGGGUUAGAGCAAACAUUAUAUCUAAAUUCAACAUUAUGUCUACAUUGAAAUAGGAAUGAUUAAACGCAGAAAUACUUAAUAUAAGACAUGCUUAAAUAUAGGUAGAUUCAGAGACGUAUCAAACGUUGAUCCCUGAGUUCUUUCAUGGUUGCCAUGAUUAGCAUAUUUGUGAAAAAGUUGUUGAACUACUUCAUGUUAAAUAUAGGAUUAUUUGGUGACAGUUCCCUUGUAUAUGUCAAAUCCCAUAAUGCACUACACAAAAGAAGUUAAAGAACACCCUAUUCUUUCAUAGUACUGUCGUUACUGUAAUCUGUCAUGCCAUGACAAAUCAACUAUAGUAAUAUGAUAGAAGCAGGUGUUAAUUUCUUUUGUGAAGUAUAUUUAGAAAGGUAUGUCUAACUGACAUGUCAGUGGGGUCAAUAUCUAUGUUAUUUUGUCCAGAACAUGGUGUUGUCAUACUCAUUUAUGAAUUUAUUUUGUAAAAAGCAUUUGAUUCCAUCCAUUUGGAAAUUGUAGGAUUUUGCUACAACUUUCAAAAUAGUUGUGACAAACAUGAGGUGUUGGAGGUUAUUUUGAAGAUUAUGACAAUGAUCAGCUAUGAGCCUGUGCUUAGUUAAAAGAAGGCAGAAGGUAAUGUUAGUUGACCACAGACUUUGUCCAUCAGACAACUGAAUCAGCGCACUGACUUCGUGUAAUUACCUUCCACCACUGAUGAACAAGAUGAAGAAACUGCUUAUGUAUGCCUGAGAGUGUAAUGAAGUUUUUUAAUUGAUUUUGAAAUUAUUGACCCUGUUGUAUGGUUCUAUGGACCAAAGUUUAGAAGUUGUUAGACACCUACCCACCAGUAUAUUAAGAGAAUGUGCCUCUGUGCAUCUGUGUCUUGCAAGAAUCCACCUACCUUGUGCAUCCCUUUGUCUUGCAAGAAUCCACCUACCUUGUGCAUCCCUUUGUCUUGCAAGAAUCCACCUACCUUGUGCAUCCCUUUGUCUUGCAAGAAUCUGCCUAUUUUGUCCUUCUCUGUCUCUUGCAAGAAUCUACCUACCUUAUGCAUACCUUCAUCUUGCAAGAAUCUGCCUAUUUUGUCCAUCUCAGUGUCUUGCAAGAAUCUUCUGAUUGUGCAUUCCUUAGUCUUGCAAGAAUCUGUGGGUUUUGAUGACUGAUUUGCCCAGAUUGUGAUCCUUGGUUUGUUUGCUGUUAAGUUUCCCCAUUGACCUUUACUCCCACAUGAAGCUGUCAUGCCAUGAUAUGACUGAAGUAAGACCCAGUCAUCCCCUCGCAUGGUUGGCACGAAAGGUAUGGAGACAUAAGGUUCAGGUUAUGUCCAAAGGUUCAGAAUGAAGCCUUAAUUUCUCAAACCUGUCCUCGAUAUGCUUGCUUGAGGAAGAAGAUCCAAAACAAGAAAAUCAGUUUGUCAUGGCAUAACACCUCAUCAUAUUGGACCUGUUAUCUUUCACAUUCAAUAAUGAGCAAUAACAUAAUGCUGUAACUUGACAAAAUGUUGUCCUUUCCAUAUUUCUACAUUUGUUUGUCUUGAUCUUGUUUAUAUACAUUUGCAUUAUAUUUUUUGUAUACAUUUUUAAGAAUUAGAAUGAUAUGUCUUAAAUAGCUGACAUGAUCAAAACUGUCGAUUUCUUUAUGUGACCUAUGACAUUGGUGUGAUUUGAUUGUGGGUGGAUAGGCAUCUAAUAGAUCUAAUUCAAUAUGCAUUGUAAACAUGUUAAAGAAACCCAUUAGUUUAUUCACAUGAUAGCAACAGUGAUAAUGACAAAUGUGCAAGUUGUAUCAUCUCAGUCCUCAAGUACACACAUAUGUUAUUGGAGGUGCUUGGGCUGUCAAACAAAUUAUUUGAUUUUUGUGUCUUUUGUUACAAUGCAACACAAAUGAGUGUUUUAAGAUGGGAUGUAUGCUUCACGAUUAGACUGACAUCAAUAACCAGCAUUUGAGAUGGUGAGUAUGGAAUGGGUGAUGCCAGUGGUUGCUGUGUGUGACCGUGUUAUAAGCAUAACCUUCAAAUAUGUGACACUUAUCAUGAGGUUGAGUUGACCUCCAGUUGCAUCAUGUGACACAGUUAUCAUGAGGUUGAGUCGACCUUAAAUUGCAUCAUGUGACACUGUUAUCAUGAGGUUGAGUCGACCUUAAAUUGCAUCAUGUGACACUGUUAUCAUGAGGUUGAGUCGACAUCCAGUUGCAUCAUGUGACACUGUUAUCAUGAGGUUGAGUCGACCUCCAGUUGCAUCAUGUGACACUGUUAUCAUGAGGUUGAGUCGACCUCCAGUUGCAUCAUGUGACACUGUUAUCAUGAGACACUGUUAUCAUGAGGUUGAGUCGACCUCCAGUUGCAUCAUGUGACACUGUUAUCAUGAGGUUGAGUCGACCUCCAGUUGCAUCAUGUGACACUGUUAUCAUGAGGUUGAGUCGACCUCCAGUUGCAUCAUGUGACACUGUUAUCAUGAGGUUGAGUCGACCUCCAGUUGCAUCAUGUGACACUGUUAUCAUGAGAUUGAGUCGACCUCCACUUGCAUCAUGUGACACUGUUAUCAUGAGGUUGAAUAAGAGCUCCAAUUACAUUGUGUGACAUUUCUCUCAUAAAGCUGAAUAAGAUCUCUGUGCAUUGUGUGACAGAGCACCAACUGCACGGUUACCUUCAACUGUGUGAUGGUAUGAUUGUUAUGAAGGUGACCAGAGCUGGUUCCCAGGCAGCAUCACUAGUGGCAUGGACAAUCAGGGGAAAGCGUUUAUGCAUUCUAAAUUCUAGUAUCUCGAAAAUUACUCACACUAGCAAUUACUAAAAGCUAAAAAUAAUCUUACAAUUAGGAGUGUUAUUGCAUGAUGUAUACAUUAGACACUGUCUAUCAUCGACUAUGUGCGCAAUGAACAUGCACUGUUAAAUACACCAUUCUACAUCCCUUUAUCUAUGCAAUUAUAUGCUACAUGCUUGUUAUUUUUUCAUGCAUUUAGAAAAUCAAAUCUUUUUCUUUCUUUUUUUUCAUAAUAAUAUUUCUUUCACAAAUGCAAAAAUUGGUUGAUUUUGCAUAAUCUAUGAUGUAGUGCCAUGUGUAAUCACACUCAGCAUUUUAUUGCUUUUCGCUAAGAUUCAUUCUAUUUUUUGCAGAAUGGCAUUAUCAAGAUUUGGUAGAUGAAACUAUAUUAUUGGUGUGAAAAGCUGGACAUAUAGUCACUUGUCAAGAGAACAGUUAAGAUCUAUCUCUUGGCUGAUGGGUAUUUCAAAACACAGCCUUCCAAUUUUGGGUGUUCUUAACUUGUUUUGAGCAGUAUAUUUGUCUGGAGUCAAAGACAACACAACACCUUUUGCCUUAACGUGUCAUGUUCAUUAUCUGUGAGAAGUCUGGAUGGAGAUGAGAGAUGCCAAUUUCACCAAAGUGGUAAGGUUGCACUUGCAUCACUUCUUGUUUCCUCCCCACUACGCUGACAGUGAUCUAAGUGAAGUACUAUUCAAAGCAGCAUUAAGCUCACUGUUAGUGUGUAAGAAUGAACUUGACAAUAUAACCAGAAGACACUGGUUGUCACCUCACUUGUUUCUAUGAAGACUUCUGUAGUGAUUCAGAGGACAAUUGGUUUUCAGCAUAUGUGUACAUGUUGGAAUGUUGGAAUUACCUUUUCUUUUUACAUUUUGUAUAUUUCUUCGAUUUUUACACAAUAUAAAAAUAAACCAAUGCAACAGAA